CAGCAGCCGCGGUAAUACGAGGGGGGCAAGCGUUGUUCGGAUUUAUUGGGCGUAAAGGGUGCGUAGGCGGUUUGGCAAGUCUUGUGUGAAAUCUUCGGGCUCAACCCGAAGCCUGCACGAGAAACUACUGGGCUUGAGUAUUGGAGAGGUGAGUGGAAUUUCCGGUGUAGCGGUGAAAUGCGUAGAUAUCGGAAGGAACACCUGUGGCGAAAGCGGCUCACUGGACAAUAACUGACGCUGAUGCACGAAAGCUAGGGGAACAAACAGGAUUAGAUACCCGGGUAGUCCCUGUCUCUUAUAC
rnacentral:rRNA from 1 species